GCUCAGGACGAACGCUGGCGGCGCGCCUAACACAUGCAAGUCGAACGGAGUUGUGUUGAAAGCUUGCUGGAUAUACAACUUAGUGGCGGACGGGUGAGUAACACGUGAGUAACCUGCCUCUCAGAGUGGAAUAACGUUUGGAAACGAACGCUAAUACCGCAUGACGUGAGAAGAGGGCAUCCUCUUUUUACCAAAGAUUUAUCGCUGAGAGAUGGGCUCGCGGCCGAUUAGGUAGUUGGUGAGAUAACAGCCCACCAAGCCGACGAUCGGUAGCCGGACUGAGAGGUUGAUCGGCCACAUUGGGACUGAGACACGGCCCAGACUCCUACGGGAGGCAGCAGUA
rnacentral:rRNA from 1 species